rnacentral:rRNA from 1 species
GCCAGCAGCCAUGUCACCCUGCACCUUAUAGCUAGCAGCCCACUAAAGCUCAGCAGGUGGGAGCCUGAUCAGUACCUGGAUGGGAGACCUCCUGGGAAAGAUGAGGUUGCUGCUGAAA